CCACCACUGGCCCCUCUUAAUUCUCAUGUCCUUUUCACAUUUCAAAACCAAUUAUGCCUUCCCAACAGUCUCCCAAAGCCUUAACUCAUUCCAACAUUAACUCAAAAGUCCAAGUCCAAAGUCUCAUCUGAGGCAAAGCAUGUCUCUUCCUCCUAUGAUCUUGUAAAAUAAAAAGCAAGUUAGUUGCUUCCAAGAUAAAAUGUGGGUGCUGGCAUUGAGUAAAUGCUCCAAAAUUGGCCAAAACAAAGGGGCCAUAGGCCCCAUGCAAGUACAAAACUCAUCGGGGCACUCAUUAAAUCUUAAUGCUCCAGAACAAUCUCAUUUGACUCCAUGUCUCAAAUCCAGGGUAUGCUGAUGCAAGGGAUGGUCUCCCCGGGCCUUGGGCAGCUCUGCUCCUGUGCCUCUGCAGGAUACAGCCCCUGCAGCUGCUUUCAUGGGCUGGCAUUGAGCCCCUGCACUUCUCCUGAUGCACAGUGCAAGUUGUUGAUGGAGCUACCAUUCUGGGGGGUAUGGAGGCCCAACACUGUGUGGAAGCUGCCAAGGCUUGGGGCAUGCACCCUCUGAAGCAAUGACCUGAGCUGUAUCUUGGCCUCUUUUAGCUACAGCUGGAGCUGGAGCAGCUGAGACCCAUGGUACUAUGUCCUGAGGCUGUAGAGAGCAGUGGGGCCCUGGGCCUGGCCCAGGAAUCCAUUUUUCCCUCUUAGGCCUCUGAGGGGCUGUGAUGGGAGGGGCUGUGAUGGGAGGGGCUGCUAUGAAGAUCUCUGAAAUGCCCUGGAGACAUUUGUCCCAUUGUCUUGGUUAUUAAUGUUGGAAUCCUCAUUAGUUAUGCACAUUUCUGCAGCUGGCUUGAAUUUUUCCCGCAGAAAAUGGGUUUUUCUUUUCCACCACAUGGUCAGCUGCAAAUUUUCCAAGUUUUUCAUUCUGCUUCACUUUUAAGCAUAAGGUCCAAUUUCAAACCAUCUCUUUGUGAAUGCAUAUGACUGUACACUUUCAGAACAAACCAGGUCACCUCUUGAAUGCUUUGCCACUUAGAAAUUUCUUCAUCCAGAUACCGUAACUCAUCUCUCUCAAAUUCAAAGUUUCACAGAUCUCUAGGGCAGGGGCAAAAUGCCACCAGUCUCUUGGCUAAAGCAUAGUAAGAAUGAUCUUUCCUCCAGUUCCCAGUAAGUUUCUCAUCUCCAUCUGAGACCACCGCAGCCUGGAUUUCGUUGUUCAUCUCAUACCAGCAUUUUGGUCAAAACCAUUCAAGUCUCUAGGAAAUUCUAAACUUUCUCACAUCUUCCUGUCUUCUUCUGAGCCAUCCAAACUGUUCCAACCUCUGCCUGUUAUCCAGUUCCAAAGCUGCUUCCACAUUUUCAGGUUAUUUUUAUAGCAGUGUCCCACUCCCAGUACCAAUUUCCUGUAUUAGUUCAUUUUCACACUGCUGUAAAGAACUACCUGAGACUGGACAAUUUAUAAAGGAGAAAGGUUUAAUUGACACAGUUCUGCAUGGCUGUGAAGGCUUCAGGAAACUUACAAUCAUGGCAGAAGGUGAAGGAGAAGCAAGUACCUUCUUCACAAGGCAGCAGGAGGGAGAGACAGUGAGGGAGGAACUGUCAAACACUUUCAAACCAUCAGAUCUCAUGAGAACUCAUUCACUAUCAUAAGAAUAGCAUGAGGGAAGCUAUCCCCAUGAUCCAAUCACCUCCCACCAGGUCCCUUUUGGGUGGGGACACAGAGCCAAACCAUAUCCAUAAGAAAAAAAUUAUUAAUUGAACUGCAUAAAUAUUUAGUAAGUGAAUUAAAUCUAUGCUUACAUAUUUAUGAAUUUAUUAUUAUAGAUAUUUGCUCCAAAAAUCAAUACCAAGUCUAGAAUUUGGUAAAAAAACUAAAAGACCCAAGCUCAGGGAGACCAGUGGCCUGCGGGCUAUGGAAUGACUUUUAUUGAAAUGCCUGAUUCUAUAGAUUAACGUUUGUGUGGCUCAGGUCAAGAUGCUUCAUCUCUCAGUGUCAAUAUGUUCUUUAAGAUGGGAAAUAUACUAAUGCCACCCAUUAAACAGGCCUAAUGUGGAGGCCUUUUUGACUACGUGGACUUCCUGAUCCUGUGCCAGGCAGCUGGUAAGGGGGCUAUCUGGCCUCUGUGUGCUCAUGUCCUCUUGGCGUUUCUGAAGCACUCAAAGGUUAGUGCAUCCAGGUUACCCUCAACCACAAGGCCCAAGGUUGAGAGAAAUACCCCAGUUUCCUCUGUCCUCAGUAAGACAAUUUCAAGUCAGGUCCACCCAGGUUUCUCACAGCCUCAUCAGUAGGAAGAGUUGAGCUUUUGUUGCCCACAGUGAUAAUUCCCUCAUUAACAUGCUCUUUUUUGGCGCUUUUCCUUCCCUUGGCUCAUGUCCACAUGCCCACACAUUGUUUCCUGGGUCACAUCCUAAAUAAAUACAUUUACAAAUCCAUGCCUCAAAGUCUGCUUUGCUAGGAACCAAACUUUGACAGCUAACCCACCUCAACUGAGUGCACAUCCUGGCGCAGGCUCGAAGCCCAGAGAAGGCUGGUUGCCACUGGAACACCCAGGAGCCCCUCACACUGUGCUUCGCCUACGUUGUGUGACUUCCGAGCCAUAGCAUGUGAGAACCUCCCAAGAAUUUAUCUGGAAGCUUUCUCAAUGAGUAAAAGUAAACAGAUUUGGGGUGGGGUCUUGCAUUUCCCAAAGCACACAGACAGAAUUCAUUGUAUUAAUAUAGCUUUUUAUUUUGAAUUUACUCAUACAGAGUGAAGAAAUACCUUAGAAAGAGAUAUUUCUGGUAAAAGGGGUGUGCUCUGACCUACAGGCUAAAGUGCCUCAACUGGAUUCACUUGUGUACAAAUUAGAGUAACUUGUCUUAACUGUAUUGAGGCGGGAAGAAGAAAAAGAAGACAAGAGGAAGGAAGGAAAUAAGAAAAAGCUGAAUUUAAAUC
rnacentral:lncRNA from 1 species